rnacentral:rRNA from 1 species
UACGUAGGGGGCAAGCGUUGUCCGGAAUCAUUGGGCGUAAAGAGCGUGUAGGCGGCCAGAAAAGUCCGCUGUGAAAACUCGAGGCUCAACUUCGAGCUGUCGGUGGAAACUUUCUGGCUAGAGUCCGGAAGAGGAGAAUGGAAUUCCUGGUGUAGCGGUGAAAUGCGCAGAUAUCAGGAGGAACACCAACGGCGAAGGCAGCCCGCUGGGACGGUACUGACGCUAAGGCGCGAAAGCGUGGGGAGCGAACAGG